CUUCAACGACCCCAGCCACAACGGGCGAUCCCGGUCCUGGCCGUAGGUCGCGAGCACCGCCUGGGCUUC
rnacentral:antisense_RNA from 1 species